rnacentral:rRNA from 1 species
ACACGACUACAUUAGAUACCCCUGUAGUCCUAGCCGUAAACGAUACUCGCUAGGUGUCGGCCACGGUGCGACCGUUGUCGGUGCCGUAGGGAAGCCGUGAAGCGAGCCACCUGGGAAGUACCGGCCGCAAGGCUAGAAACUUAAAGGAAUUGGCGGGGGAGCACAACAACGGGUGGAGCUUGCGGUUUAAUUGGAUUCAACGCCGGAAAUCUUACCGGGACCGACAGCAACAUGAAGGCCAGGCUGAAGACUUUGCCGGAUUAGCUG